rnacentral:sRNA from 1 species
ACAUAGUGUAUUUGACAAAGCAACAAAGUGCACUCGUUCUCACUAUUUCCAUUGUGAGAUUAUGUUGCGAUUCAGUUACAGUUGACUCAUUGUUGGAAUUGGAAGUUGGAAUCGUUCGCCGAAAGAACGUGGCAAUGGCAAUCAAGGAAGUUUUCUGUUAGAACUUAAAGUUCGCAAAAAUAUUAAUUCUAUAAAGUUUUUUUUCCGUUCAUCACAGACGAACCGCCCAUGCAGUAGAACUGGUGACUGGUAUUCAUCCCUAUGAUAGACACAUUUUAGUGACUGCAUGCUCUGGGGCCAAACCGUCGGGAAGGCAGCGAGAAGAGAAGGAAUCUUUUACAAAGUCAUGUCUAAUAAAUUCGAUUUGAAACCACUGGAACUGAAGCAUUAAUUUAAUCUAGGAUAAGUGUGUAUAAAAUGCAAAGAGGGGACUUCCGUUUUGCCAUUCGCAUCGCAGAAGCCACUGGUCUCAAUGUUAAAGUGAUGAUGACGUAAAGAAAUAAUCUAUACAAUACCAGCGACUUCUAUGAAAGAAAUCCCCAAAUGAAAUUCACAGAAUCUUAUUCCUACUCGAAAGCCCAGCCAAGGGAGUAAUCAAGAGAGUUUAGCUUAAACUACAAAAUUAACGAAUUGUGACUGUUGCAUACGUCUUGUGAUACAGAGAAAAAGAGAGGAAAAAAUCUCCCUUGCGUAAUUCAAAGUACGCGUAACCGAUUAGAUUAUCCCAAAACGCGCGAUCAUUGGAUAAAAUGUCUUUGAUAUGAACCAUCGAAUGCUCUUUCUCUGGAAGAGGAUUUGCUCAAUCAAAGGGCAAUUUUAAUCCUUUUUGACAAGGCAUAGUAAUUUAAUUUUCGCUACCGGUGUUUGAUUCUUCAUAAUUGAGGAGACUGUAUCGAUUUUCUCCCGAUUUUACCCCCGAUUCUUAGUUGUCUGGUCGUUACUCAGAGGUAGAAAAUAAAUGAUUAACUUUUAGGGCCAAUAAGAAAUUUAUCAUAUUAUGGAACCUCCAGUCUGCGAUAAUGUUUGAUGUGUCGCUAUUAAUCUGUAGAUAAGGCUGUGUUAUUUAGUCGUUUUAUGUCCUGCAUUGCUAUUCAUCGAAGCAUUUCACUCUGAAAACGGUUCAAAUAUGAUAAGAACUGUUGUCUAAUAAUUGUUGAUUUGGUUAUGUGUUUUGUGUUAAAAGAGAUUAAAAAGAGACUUUCAACCGUACUAAAAAUUAUUCAGCCAUCCCGGAAAAAAAGUAUUCCGUCUCGGUUUUCUGCAAAGCAUAUUGAAUUAUUAUGUAUUUCCCAAAGGGCACUGUUAAAAAGAUUAGCUUAAGUUUUUAAUGAAUAAAGGAUAUAUUUGUUUCAAAAUACACAAUACUUUAUCAUAUUAAGACACCGUUUAAUGUCUGACUGAACAAUUUAGGUUAAUCUUUAGGUUUCCUAUUUAAUUUUUGCUUCGAAAAAAAAAAUAAAAAAAAGAAUAAAGCC